AUUGAACGCUGGCGGCAGGCCUAACACAUGCAAGUCGAGCGGAUGAGGAAAGCUUGCUUUUCGAUUCAGCGGCGGACGGGUGAGUAAUGCCUAGGAAUCUGCCUGUUAGUGGGGGAUGACUCGGGGAAACUCGGGCUAAUACCGCAUACGUCCCAAGGGAGAAAGUGGGGGAUCUUCGGACCUCACGCUAUCAGAAGAGCCUGCGUAGGAUUAGCUAGUUGGUAGGGUAAAGGCCUACCAAGGCGACGAUCCUUAACUGGUCUGAGAGGAUGAUCAGUCACACCGGAACUGAGACACGGUCCGGACUCCUACGGGAGGCAGCAGUGGGGAAUAUUGGACAAUGGGGGCAACCCUGAUCCAGCCAUGCCGCGUGUGUGAAGAAGGCCUUCGGGUUGUAAAGCACUUUAAGCAGGGAGGAAGGCUUUGUGGUUAAUAACCAUGAGGAUUGACGUUACCUGCAGAAUAAGCACCGGCUAACUCCGUGCCAGCAGCCGCCGUAAUAC
rnacentral:rRNA from 1 species